AACGAACGCUGGCGGCAUGCCUAACACAUGCAAGUCGAACGAGAUCUUCGGGUCUAGUGGCGCACGGGUGCGUAACGCGUGGGAAUCUGCCCUUUGGUUCGGAAUAACAGUUGGAAACGACUGCUAAUACCGGAUGAUGACGAAAGUCCAAAGAUUUAUCGCCAGAGGAUGAGCCCGCGUAGGAUUAGCUAGUUGGUGUGGUAAAGGCGCACCAAGGCGACGAUCCUUAGCUGGUCUGAGAGGAUGAUCAGCCACACUGGGACUGAGACACGGCCCAGACUCCUACGGGAGGCAGCAGUGGGGAAUAUUGGACAAUGGGCGAAAGCCUGAUCCAGCAAUGCCGUGUGAGUGAUGAAGGCCUUAGGGUUGUAAAGCUCUUUUACCCGGGAUGAUAAUGACGGUACCGGGAGAAUAAGCUCCGGCUAACUCCGUGCCAGCCGCCGCGGUAA
rnacentral:rRNA from 1 species